rnacentral:rRNA from 1 species
AUUAGGGGAUGAGCUGUGGGUAGGGGUGAAAGGCUAAACAAACUUGGAAAUAGCUGGUUCUCUCCGAAAACUAUUUAGGUAGUGCCUCAAGUAUCACCACCGGGGGUAGAGCACUGUUAUGGCUAGGGGGUCAUUGCGACUUACCAAACCAUUGCAAACUCCGAAUACCGGUGAGUGCGAGCUUGGGAGACAGACAUCGGGUGCUAACGUCCGGUGUCAAGAGGGAAACAACCCAGACCGCCAGCUAAGGUCCCAAAGAUUGGCU